UCCGUAGGGUGCAAGCGUUGUCCGGAAUUAUUGGGCGUAAAGAGCUCGUAGGCGGUCUGUCGCGUCGGAUGUGAAAACUCGGGGCUCAACCCCGAGCCUGCAUUCGAUACGGGCAGACUAGAGUUCGGUAGGGGAGACUGGAAUUCCUGGUGUAGCGGUGAAAUGCGCAGAUAUCAGGAGGAACACCGGUGGCGAAGGCGGGUCUCUGGGCCGAUACUGACGCUGAGGAGCGAAAGCGUGGGGAGCGAACAGG
rnacentral:rRNA from 1 species